rnacentral:rRNA from 1 species
AUUGAACGCUAGCGGGAUGCUUUACACAUGCAAGUCGAACGGCAGCGCGGACUUCGGUCUGGCGGCGAGUGGCGAACGGGUGAGUAAUGUAUCGGAGCGUGCCCAGUAGCGGGGGAUAACUACGCGAAAGCGUAGCUAAUACCGCAUACGCCCUACGGGGGAAAGCAGGGGAUCGUAAGACCUUGCACUAUUGGAGCGGCCGAUAUCGGAUUAGCUAGUUGGUGAGGUAACGGCUCACCAAGGCGACGAUCCGUAGCUGGUUUGAGAGGACGACCAGCCACACUGGGACUGAGACACGGCCCAGACUCCUACGGGAGGCAGCAGUGGGGAAUUUUGGACAAUGGGGGCAACCCUGAUCCAGCCAUCCCGCGUGUGCGAUGAAGGCCUUCGGGUUGUAAAGCACUUUUGGCAGGAAAGAAACGUCGCGGGCUAAUACCCCGUGGAACUGACGGUACCUGCAGAAUAAGCACCGGCUAACUACGUG